CAACUUAAUCCCAUUCCAGAAGUACACUGGGAUCAAAUUGCCAAGCACCAAACAAUCUUGGUUUAACACAAGUCUGAACCUCAAGGAAUGUGAGAUGUUGUGUAUGAAGAACUGCUCCUGUACAGCUUAUGCAAAUUCUAAUAUCAGGGAAGGAAGAAGUGGGUGCUUGCUGUGGUUAGGUGAUCUGAUUGACUUAAGAAAUUUAGCUGAGAAAGAGAAUGGACAAGAUAUCCAUAUAAGAUUAGCUGCAUCAGAGCAAGAUAAUGAAGAGACUAGUACCAGAAUCAAUGCUAAACCUGCUAAAUCCAAUGUGAAGAAAGUGAGAAUCGUAGCUAGCACUCUUGUUUUAUCUACUGGGCGUAGCUCUGCUCUUUUAUGUUUGGAAGAAAGAUGCAGGAAAACUGAGCCGCGGCCACAAAGAAAAUCUGGAAUUACCAUUGUUUGACUUGGCUACUGUUGUUAAUGUAAUAAACUAGGAGAAGGUGGCUUCGGAUCUGUUUUUAAGGGUAUGAUGGAAGAUGGACAAGAAAUAACAGUGAAAAGGCUCGCAAGAGACUCUAUGCAAGGAAUUAAUGAGUUCAAAAAUGAGGUUGUAUGAUAGAUUCAUAAUUCCAUAUAUUUUUAUACCCUUAAAUGUAGGAUUCUAGGCUUAGUUCUUAUCAUUUUUGAGUCAUUUACUUUGUGUUUGUGUUUUGUAGGUUAAAUUGGAGAAAAGAAAGAUUUGGAGCUUAAAAUCAAACGCAGGAUUAAAAGGAUGCUGGCUAUCCUGAGUGUCCAGAAUUGUCUCUGCUUUGCGUCAACUUCACAGAUUAAACUGUACCUUCUCACAAGGAACUAGCAGGCGAGCCUUAUACCAUUGGAAAGAUACGGAUGUUAGCUUUCUGAGGAAUUUUAAGGAAGUGGAUUCACAUUCUUGUGGAGGAAGUUAUGAUGAUUUAAGUGAACCUAGUUCGGGAAGGCAGAUUCUGACGGAUUUUGCAUAUCUUUUGGGAAUCUAACUAGUGAGGCCCAAGUCCGUUGUUCUUAGCAGUUGAAUGAAACAAGGCUGAACGUGUUUGACAUAUUUGGAGUAAUUUCUUGCAUUGACUUUAAUAACACUGCGUUCCUUUGGAGAGAAGAAAGCUAUUCCAAGUUGGACUAGAAGACCGAAGAAGCCCAAGUCAAGUUGGAUUGGAAAGAGACAUAUUCGGCAGAAAACCUAGCAUGUUGAGACACAGAAAACACAGCAUAUUCGGCAGAGAACAAGGAGAAGAAAAAGCUCUCACCAUCGUUGGACCCGAGUUCCUCAAUUCUUCUAUUGUUUGUUUCAUGUUUUCUUUGAUUCUAGUCAUGUUUUUCAUGGUUAUGGACUGUUAAAUUUCUAGGCUAGGGCUGAGAUGAAGCCCCUAGUAUGACUAUUCUACUUAUUUAGUUGGUUUGCUAUUGAAUUUCUGGAUUUCUAUGUUAAACUCUUAAUCACCGUUUCAAUAGAACUUUUAU